GACCCGGCCGGGCGGUCUGCCUCACGGUACGUACUGUCUGGCUGGGUCUUACCUCUCGGUGAGCCCGUAUGCUCUUUACUGGGUGUGCGGAGGAACCGGGACGUUUACCUUGAGAAAAUUAGAGUGUUCAAAGCAGGCUUAUGCCCGAAUACAUUAGCAUGGAAUAAUGGAAUAGGACGUGCGGUUCUAUUUCGUUGGUUUCUAGAGUCGCCGUA
rnacentral:rRNA from 1 species